rnacentral:lncRNA from 1 species
GGUUUGAAGUAAAAAUGAGUUGUCGUCUCAUAUUUAAUUCCGUUGAGACGUUCAAUCUGUUGGUUUGUUCGAGACGUGAGUUUUCGUAAAAAUUAUUUAUUCUUACGAAUUUUCGAGAACGUUAAGACAUGAACGGAGAGACAUGGUUUAGGAUCUCGUAUCAUUUUUAGAUAUCAUGUCUUGAGAUGUUAGAGACCAAUGCGAUGGGUUUAGGGCAAGACCUAGGUUUACUCUCGGUUUUAAGGUUUGUGCAGUGACUAGCCGCCUAUCGAUUUUCCUGUUGCAAUUUCUACCUGAUUCAUACUGAUUUAAAGUCUGCGAUAGGUUCUCGGCUUAUAUGACUUGUGUGGCACGAAUCAAGCA